UACGAAGGGGGCUAGCGUUGCUCGGAAUUACUGGGCGUAAAGCGCACGUAGGCGGAUUGUUAAGUCGGGGGUGAAAUCCUGGAGCUCAACUCCAGAACUGCCUUCGAUACUGGCGAUCUCGAGUUCGGGGAGAGGUGAGUGGAACUGCGAGUGUAGAGGUGAAAUUCGUAGAUAUUCGCAAGAACACCAGUGGCGAAGGCGGCUCACUGGCCCGAUACUGACGCUGAGGUGCGAAAGCGUGGGGAGCAAACAGGG
rnacentral:rRNA from 1 species